rnacentral:lncRNA from 1 species
AUGUUAAAAAUCCUAACACAAUUUCUCCUUUCAACCCCAUCCAUUUUGGGAGCCUGCCCUUCAGUAUCUUCAGCAUUUGCAUCCACACUUGGGGUGGCAGGCACCGAGAAUCACCAUCUCUGUCACCCUGUGGCCUGGUGGAGGGACGGCCACAUACUCACUAAGAGGUGGCUAUUGAGUGGAAGACAGCUGUGGAGAUUUGGAGAAGGCGGAGAAAGGCUCCUGAGCUCUAGGUUGAACAAGAGGUCAAGAAUAGGAAGUAUAUACAUAUAAGAAGUAUGUACAUAUAAGAACUACAGUGGCUCAAACCAGAUGAAUUCCAACAAAGGCAGAUCACAUCAUGGGCAAGAUCCCUGUGAGUUUUCCUGUUGCUGUCACUUGGAUACCCCUGAAGAACAUGAUCCUCCUAGACAGCAAUGGCUCCAACUGUGCCAUCCAGUGUUUAUAAAGUGCCUUCCCGUCUAGAUUACCGUAUUCCACUAAAGACUCCAUUUACAGAGAACUUCACUUGCUACUAGGUCAGGAGCAGGGUCAGACCCAGCCGCGCCCAGGCUCUCUACAUGCAACCUUGCCUGGCAGGUCUGAAAGACUUGGGGAGGGGGAAGGAGGGGAAGGCUAUUUGUGUUAGAAGUGAGCCUCUGACUGCAUCUUCUCAUCAUCACUGUUCCAUUCAGCUGCUAUUCUAGUCCAACUCAGAACUUCCUAAGCAGGACAAGGGGCUGUGCUGUCAAGGCCACGUUCCUUUUCUCUGAAGUCAUUGCUCAGUGCUGUGCCCCUCCCCAGUGGCCUUGGUUACCCUACAUCUACCCUUCAGCCUGUCCUAAAACAGACAGCUGGGUGUCUGGCAGCAGCUCACAUCAGCCACUUGAUCUCUGUGGAUCUCUUCCUGACUAUACAGGUGUGUGGUUGGAUUUCAGGGGGUACCCUUUCACCCCGAUCUCAGAAGCUAGCUCACACCUGCCACUCUAUGCCACCAGUCACAUCCUCAGUGUGGUGUGCAAGGCCCUCUCACCUGGUUUAGGCUUCAAGUUACAUGAGAACAGGAAGCCUUGAAUCCCCUGCUCUACUUACUCCCUGCCACCUGCUAACUAAUGAGUGACAUCAUUUAACACUGUUUUGAAAAGAGAGAUUUAAAGUUGUUUUGAAAACUGAAGGAAAAAUACAAAUGUUUGCAUGUUAAACAUUUCGCCCAAGUACUAAAAUGUGAAUGUCUCUUUAUUAUGACAGUUCUGGAGGAGAGUGAGCUCCUGGUUGUCAGUGAGCAUCUCAGCACAGGGUUUGACACACAGCAUGGCAGUGGGAGGAAGCUUAAAAAUAGUUGAAAGAAAGAGAAGUGUUCGAUGCUUUUCUAAUUGUCCCAGGUCAACAGUCUGCCUUCUAUUGUGACGGUUCAACGAAAAUGAAAUUUCACCCAUAUGCAUCCUAUAAUAGCUAUUUACUCUUGUCUCCAAGAAUCAAAUGUAUAGAAAAUUUGGAAAGUAUAGAGCUCUGAAGAAUACUCUGAAUUCCAAUCCACAGGAACAAUAUAUAUAUAUAUAUAUAUAUAUUAUAUAUAUAUAUAUAUAUAUAUUAAAUGUAUUCUCAUAUUCUGUCGAGGCAUUUGUACUGUUAGAGUCUAAUGCUUAAAAAUAAAAAUUUUGAGGGCCAGAGAGACA